rnacentral:rRNA from 1 species
CGGAGGGUGCAAGCGUUAUCCGGAUUCACUGGGUUUAAAGGGUGCGUAGGUGGGUUGGUAAGUCAGUGGUGAAAUCUCCAGGCUUAACUUGGAAACUGCCAUUGAUACUAUCAAUCUUGAAUACCGUGGAGGUUAGCGGAAUAUGUCAUGUAGCGGUGAAAUGCUUAGAUAUGACAUAGAACACCAAUUGCGAAGGCAGCUGGCUACACGAAUAUUGACACUGAUGCACGAAAGCGUGGGGAUCAAACAGGAUUAGAUACCCUGGCAGUCCACGCCCUAAACGAUGGAUACUCGACAUACGCGAUAUACAGUGUGUGUCUGAGCGAAAGCAUUAAGUAUCCCACCUGGGAAGUACGAUCGCAAGAUUG